rnacentral:sRNA from 1 species
CUUGGUCAUUUAGAGGAAGUAAAAGUCGUAACAAGGUUUCCGUAGGUGAACCUGCGGAAGGAUCAUUACCUAGAGUUUGUAGACUUCGGUCUGCUACCUCUUACCCAUGUCUUUUGAGUACCUUCGUUUCCUCGGCGGGUCCGCCCGCCGAUUGGACAACAUUCAAACCCUUUGCAGUUGCAAUCAGCGUCUGAAAAAACAUAAUAGUUACAACUUUCAACAACGGAUCUCUUGGUUCUGGCAUCGAUGAAGAACGCAGCGAAAUGCGAUAAGUAGUGUGAAUUGCAGAAUUCAGUGAAUCAUCGAAUCUUUGAACGCACAUUGCGCCCCUUGGUAUUCCAUGGGGCAUGCCUGUUCGAGCGUCAUUUGUACCUUCAAGCUCUGCUUGGUGUUGGGUGUUUGUCUCGCCUCUGCGUGUAGACUCGCCUUAAAACAAUUGGCAGCCGGCGUAUUGAUUUCGGAGCGCAGUACAUCUCGCGCUUUGCACUCAUAACGACGACGUCCAAAAGUACAUUUUUACACUCUUGACCUCGGAUCAGGUAGGGAUACCCGCUGAACUUAAGCAUAUCAAUAAGCGGAGGAAAAGAAACCAACAGGGAUUGCCCUAGUAACGGCGAGUGAAGCGGCAACAGCUCAAAUUUGAAAUCUGGCGUCUUUGGCGUCCGAGUUGUAAUUUGCAGAGGGCGCUUUGGCAUUGGCAGCGGUCCAAGUUCCUUGGAACAGGACGUCACAGAGGGUGAGAAUCCCGUACGUGGUCGCUAGCCUUUACCGUGUAAAGCCCCUUCGACGAGUCGAGUUGUUUGGAAU